GCGGAAGGGAUAAGUGCUGAAAGCAUCUAAGCAUGAAGCCCCCCUCAAGAUGAGAUUUCCCAUAGCGUAAGCUAGUAAGAUCCCUGAAAGAUGAUCAGGUUGAUAGGUUCGAGGUGGAAGCAUGGUGACAUGUGGAGCUGACGAAUACUAAUAGAUCGAGGACUUAACCA
rnacentral:rRNA from 1 species